rnacentral:rRNA from 1 species
AGAGUUUGAUCCUGGCUCAGAAUGAACGCUGGCGGCGUGCCUAACACAUGCAAGUCGGAUGUGCCGCAAGGUGCAUGGCAGACGGGUGAGUAACGCGUGGGGAAUCUACCUCUUUGUGGGGAAUAACGCUCCGAAAGGAGUGGUAAUACCGCAUGAGACCAAUGGCUGGAAUGUUGUUGGUGAAACCUGGGGACCGCAAGGCCUGGGGCAAGGAGAGGAUCCUGCGUCUGAUUAGCUAGUUGGCGGGGUAACGGCCCACCAAGGCGACGAUCAGUAGCCGGCCUGAGAGGGUGAUCGGCCACACUGGAACUGAGACACGGUCCAGACUCCUACGGGAGGCAGCAGUGGGGAAUUUUGCGCAAUGGGCGAAAGCCUGACGCAGCAACGCCGCGUGGGUGAUGAAGGUCUUCGGAUCGUAAAACCCUGUCGUCAGGGACGAAGGUCUGGGGGUUAAUAACCCUUAGGCUUGACGGUACCUGGAGAGGAAGCCCCGGCUAACUCUGUGCCAGCAGCCGCGGUAAUACAGAGGGGGCAAGCGUUAUUCGGAAUUAUUGGGCGUAAAGGGCGCGUAGGCGGUUUUUUAAGUCAGAUGUGUAAUCCCCGAGCUCAACUUGGGAACUGCAUCUGAGACUGGAAGGCUAGAGUACUGGAGAGGGUGGUAGAAUUCCACGUGUAGCGGUGAAAUGCGUAGAGAUGUGGAGGAAUACCAGUGGCGAAGGCGGCCACCUGGACAGUAACUGACGCUGAGGCGCGAAAGUGUGGGUAGCAAACAGGAUUAGAUACCCUGGUAGUCC